rnacentral:rRNA from 1 species
AACGAACGCUGGCGGCGUGGAUAAGACAUGCAAGUCGAACGGGAUCAUUGGAGUAGCAAUACAACGAUGGUCUAGUGGCGAACGGGUGCGUAACACGUGGAUACAUUCCGGGAAGCGGGGGAUAGCCCAGGGAAACUUGGAUUAAUACCGCAUGUGAGCGAGAGAUCAAAGACGGGGACCGCAAGGCCUGUCACUUCCCGAUUGGUCCGCGGCCUAUCAGCUAGUUGGCGGGGUAAAGGCCCACCAAGGCUACGACGGGUAGCUGGUCUUAGAGGACGACCAGCCACACUGGAACUGAGACACGGUCCAGACACCUACGGGUGGCAGCAGUCGAGAAUCUUUCACAAUGGGGGCAACCCUGAUGGAGCGACGCCGCGUGGAGGAUAAGGUCUUCGGAUUGUAAACUCCUGUCAUGUGAGAACAAGGUUGCAGGGUUAAUACCUUUGCAAAUUGAUGGUAUCACAAGAGGAAGAGACGGCUAACUCUGUGCCAGCAGCCGCGGUAACAC